AUGUGUUUUUAAAGAGAAUAUUUUAGAAGCGUUUUGGAAGCGAGAUUCCGUAAGCUUCCACAAGGUUCCGAUUCCGAUUCCGGUUCCGAAGCGGGAAGCGGACGUCCGAUGAAGCUUCCGUGCAACGUAGGCUCUCAGUACGAUGUCAUCCUCACGUGUCUUCAUAGACAAAGAUAUCCAGCCCACGAUUGAUUACUUUAACUGGUUAGUAGUUGUAGAGAGAACAGUAAUAUGUUUGUCAAUUCAAAGUUGUUUUCUUUUCAGUCUCUCUUGAGUGAGCUUUAAUAAUUAUGUUUUGUAAAUUGUCUCAGGUUGACUUCUAACCCAGAGAUUGCAAAUCGGGUUAAUGCAGAUUAGGUUACUAGGGUUGAGACAAUGACAAUUGGGCAGAUCUUUGCUUACAUCAAGCAGGAAUAUGCCAAGGAAGCUUCUUUUGACUGCAUAGCCACAAUUGAUGAUGUUGAGCGUGACAGUGCAUGGUACUAUAUUGCCUGCGGCGGUUGUCAAACUAAGGCCACCAGAGGUCCUUCUUCGUUGAUGUGCGCCAAGUGUGGCAACACUAACGUUUCUGGUGUAGCGAAAUAUCUCGCAAAGAUCUCUGUCUACGACAAUAAUGACCAGGCUGUUUUCAUCCUACUUGGUGAUGCAGGAACUGAGUUGACAGGGAAGCAAGCGGCAGAAUUGGUUGACAACUACUUUGAGGCAAAUCAAGAACUUGGUGCUGGCCAUCAGAUGCCUGCCCCCCCCCCCCCAAGCUUUAAUUGACACCAUUGGACAAACUCAUAAGUUCAGGGUCAAGGUGUCUAACCUCAACUUCAGCGGCAAGAUUCAGGCUAUAACUGUUACUAAGGUUUUCUCACCAGAGAUUCUGCCACCUGUGCCAACUCUAACUGAAAUCCCACUUGAUGCGGAAGAUGAAGUUUCUUUGGCUACUGCAAGUGUCGUUGAUGGGUCUGGAAUCAAUGCUGAUGAUGGAAAUGAAAGUAGCAGUAAAAGGGAUGAAUCACAGAAGGCUAAGCGUCCUAAACAUGGCAACUAGAUCUUACGCCACUCACUUCGUACGUGCUGAGUGGUCGUCCUUUUUUUUUCAGUUUGAGUCAAGACUAUGAUUUUAACGUUAUUUAAAACUUUGCUUUGGUUUAAUAUUUUCAAACAGAUUGAUUUUUUCUUUAGUCUUUGGUUUCAUUGCAAAGAAAAGAGAAAUAUAAAAAUUUUGAAGUUAGUGGUGCAUUUAAAUAACCAAAAUUUUAAGAUAACACAACAUAUACAUCAUUCAGAUUACCAAAAUAAUGGAAAUACUAUCAUCCAACGAAAUUUUAAGAUAACACAGCAUAUACAUCUAUGUACCUUAUUACACUUUAUGGAUAAAAAAUAAUGAAUUACUAUAUAAUACCAAAACAAAUCUACCAAGUAAUUUCCUUAAUUUUCUCAAAAUAUAAGGUUAUCAAAUAUUUAUUAAUAAUACUAUUGGAAAAUAUAUCAAGACAUCUUAGGUCAAAUACAUUUCAUAUAAGGAAUUAAUCUUCAAAAUUGUAGCCUUACAACAAAGUAGAUACAGCCUGGAAAAAAAGAGAACACAACAGGCACCUAAAAUUAAGCAUAUAAAAAUAAAACUAUCGCAUGUCCACAAUUGUGCAGCGUUAAGUUUUUGCGUCUAUUUUGGUGUGAGUAUUUCGGUGUUUAGCUCUAGAAAUUAAGACAUCAUUUGAGUAUUUACAAAAUUUAGCUUGGUUUUAGUUCGAUUAUUUUAAUUUUCCGCUUAAUUUAGAUAGCAAAAGUAGGAACCGGUUAAUAUCCAACUACCUUCAUCAUAUUUAUUGUGUUAAUCAUGGUACUUUUUUUAGUUCUUAUUAGAUUUAAAAUUAGAUGAAAUUGGUAUAAAAACAAUUCCGGAUUGAAAGUUAAAUUAAAAUAACAUAAAAUAAAAGAAUAAAUAUAGUAAACUUUAAAAGUGUUGACAUUCUUAAAAAACAUAUAUGUCAAUAUAAAAUAGAAAUAAGCUUAAAUAUGGUUUAAUCACAAAAUUAUAAGAUAAACAUUUAUCAAUUUAAUAAGUUAUUUAGAUCUGCUUUUGAUUCUCAGUAAAUCACAUUUACAUUUUUUUAAAUUGUUACCUUCAAUCUAUCUAUAUACCAUUAAAUUUUUCCACGUUAUUUAUAAGAAUUUAGGUUAGAACAUCACCAAUUAAUGCAUUGAGAAUUUUUUACAAGUUUUAAAAACUUUCUAAAUUGCUUCUCCCUAUUCCAACACCUUCGCAAGCUUAAGAAUAGUGGAAAUAAGUUUCUACUGUAACAUACAAACAAUAUUCCAAGGUUAGAAUUUUUUAAAAUUUACCAAUGACUAAUAUAUCUGCAUAUGUGUAAUGCAAUCUAUCCAUAGUACUUUAUGUAGUAACUAAUAUGGAAUCGUUCAUACUGAAAUCUACUACAUAUUUCACAUUUUUAUAACAAAUGAUUAUUUACAAAAACAUAAAUACCAAAAAAGUUUAUUGAAAAUAAAUUAUGGCUUCAAAACUUAAAGAAUUACUGAAUCAUUUUAUUGGUUAUCAAAAUUUACAGAUUUAAGUAUUAAAAAUCAUUGCACAUUUAUAAAAUUAUAUAUUUAUAUGAAAUAAAGGUUAUUUACCUAUAUUUCAAAAAAUAAUUAAAAACCAAUCAGAUGAUCUAUAAAAAAUAUAGAAUAUACAUAACAUAACAGAAAACAUUUUUAUUUUAUUAAAUGUAGAGUAUUAUAAUUUUUAAGAAAGAUUUAAAUAUGAUUACUAAACUAUUAAUAGAAACAUUUAAUAUGUUAACAUAAAUUAAUGAUAUUUCAAAAAAAUAAAAUAUUUUGAAACAAAUAAAUGAUAUAAUAUUUUUUUUUUAAAAAAAUAAAUCUAAGGUUUAAGUUAUAUUUAACAUUAGUAUUAUAUAAUGUUUAUAGACAAACAAACCGCGCGUAGCGCGGUAAAAUCUCUAGUGUAUAUAAAAGACUAUAAUCUAUCUAUCUAUUAUAAAACACUGUUUUCUCUCCUGUGAGAACGUCACCUAGGAUUUCACCUAGGAAAGUCGAGUCCUGGCGUUGCAACACGUGUCCGGGCUGAUACAGCACUGCGUUUCAUUUAAGUUAGAGUGAUAUUCAUGCGGGCUUCGCUACUUCAUGGUUUAUUGGGCUACGAAAAAUAAUAAAAAAUCUAGCCCAGUUGCCGAGCUCUCCUUCUUCUACAAUGGCCGCUUACAGAUUCGUAGGUUUCCCGUCUUCUUCUUCUUUAUGUAAUCCGAGCAACCGACGGUGUAGAUUCUGGAUGCAGCCGUUACGGAAAAUGCAUUGAUGCGAUGCCAUUGACGACAUUCUUAACUCCUUAGCCCCACACCAUCCACGAUAAAUCAUUCAUUGCAUCUUAACUCUCAUCAAGGCGGUGGAACUUGAUCUAUAAGAAGGUAAACUUUCUUUGCGUAAAACUCAUCUCACAACUCCUACAACACUACAAAUUUCUGAAAAACUUCUUUCUCUCCAUCAUCCAUAACGUUUACUCUUCACCGCAACAAAACUGGCGAACCCUAACCUCCCCAUCGUUUGCGGAGGACUGUAAUGACCGGACUCUUGCCGUCGUGUCUGGAUUGCAUAGAGCUUGAGAUAUGCGGAGCAUAGACGUGGCCGUGUUACUGACUCAGGAAACAAAGGAAGAGUAACGGCAACGGGAGUCCAGCAGACUAAAAGAUGCACUCUUAGAGAGGCGGAGGCCGAGGACAAUAUCAGCUGCGAGAAUUUUGAAAUAUCCAAAAGUAAACCUUCAAGAGAAUCAGUUAGAAAAGUAGUUCGUGAACAAGAGAAGGAAGUUAUGUUAUUUGAUAAUGAUAGUGGUGGCUCUUACAAGGCGGCUGCACAUGAAAAAGAUGGAGAUAAUGCUCUUUUCCCUGAAAGUGACGACAACAGUUCAACAUGGUACGAGAACGAACUACUAUGGGCACCUUCGUCGCCAAAAUAACUGAAGAUCGGUAUUGUUCUCUCCAAAGGUGAAGUACCUGGUGGGUGCACACUGUCAUACAUGAACCAUUCGUGUUGUGUGCAGGUUGAUGUUGUCCUAAGAUUAUCAUCUCUAAGUUUUCUUGAUGUUGUAUAAAAGACAUGCAUUGAGAGCUGAAGAAGCAUCUCAUCACUGCUAGCUAUAUUGAUGAUGAAAUAUCCAUGUUACAUGAGAUGGCUAAGAAUGCUUGGAUAACGGUUCUUGGUGAAGCAACAUCCCACAAUAGUGUGAAUCUCACUUAGCCUUUAGUUUGAAUCUCAACCCUCUUAAUAGUGUGCGUCAGAGGAAAAAUGUGCGUUACCCUAUAUAUCUAUAUCUAAAUUAUACUAUAUAUCUAUGUUAAUAUCAUUAAAAUUUAAUUAUAUAUCAUAUACGAUAGAUAAAAUUGAUUGUUUUGAUUUAUUUAACCUAAAAUGAUUGCGAAUAAACAAAAGCGGUCAUUUGAUUUAUAUGCGCACGUCAAUUUAUUACAUAAUAGUAAUUGAUUUCUUAGUUAUUUAAUAUAUAAUUAUUAUUUUAUUAUUUCAUAAUAUGCAAAAAACAUAAAAAUGAAUAAAUAUAAAAUAUUUAUUCUGCACUAGGUGCGGAUCUUAACUUAAGUAUGUAUCUCUUUAAUAAUUUUAAAUCUUAAACAUUUUUUAAAUCUCAAGCCAAAACAAAAUGACGAAAUGAGAAUAAACUCAAAAAUCAAUAUUUAUAUUAAGCAAUAACCAAAAUAAAAAAUACGACACAAAAAUGAAAAAAAAUAUUGAAGAUAGAUAGGAUUAACACGUAAACGUAAACUUCUCAUAAGCAUAAUUAACUUUUAAAUUGCUAAAUCAUGAUAUAAAACCGAGCUGACAUAGUUUCAUUGUAAUCAAAUAGUCCGCCUGAGAUUCUUCGGCCUAAACAUUAGGUUCUUAUGCUAUAGGUGAUUUUUAGACCUAAAAUAUUUUUAAAAAUGGGAUCAGCUCAUCAGUAAAUAAAUUAUGUAAUUAAAAAUAAAGUUUUUAAAAUGCAUUUUCCGGUUUUGGCGGGAAAAUGCAUUUUCCGGUUUUGGUGGAAAAAUUAUGUUUUCUGGCUUUGUCGGGAAACUUCCGUUUUCCAGUUUUGGCGGGAAAAUUGUAUUUUCGGUUUUGGUGAGAAAAUGCGUUUUUUUUUGUUUUGGCGAGAAAAUGCGUUGUUUCCGGUUUUGGUGGGAAAAUGUUUUUUUUUUUGCGGUUUUGGCCGGAAAAUGCUUUUGAAGUUUUGGCGGGAAUAUGCGUUUUUUAGGUUUUGGUCGAAAAGUGUGGUUUUACUUGUUUAGCCGAAAAAUGUGUUUUAAUGAAAAUGUGUGUUUUAAAUCUUUUUGCGGAAAAAUGCAUCUUGCGGUUUUGGCGGAAAAGUGUGUUUUUCCGUUUUGCGAGAAAAUACAUUUUUUUGUUAUAGCGAAAAAAUGUAUAUGCAAAAAAAAAUAGAAUUUACGGUUUGAAAAUAAUAUUUUGAUUUUAAAAUGUCAUUUUUGUCAUUUAUUAUUUUGGACUGAACUAGAUGCAUCUGCAUCCAGAUGCACCAUCAAGACUCACCUUCAUUUGGGUGAGAAUUUGAGAUGAUUCAGCUGGGUGAUCCAUCUGGAUGUAGCAUUAUAAUGCAUUAAACGAACAUCAAUUUGCAUCUUCACCCAGAUGGAUCACCUGGGUGAGCAAACGAACAGGGCCAUAGUGGCCUCAUAUUUUUUACUAUCAAGUAAUUAUAUAUUAGAAUAAUUUUUUUGUAACUGAAUAGUAUUAGAGCUAUAGAUUAUAAUAAUAUUUAAAAUAUGUUUUUAACGAUGAAUCAAUAUUUAGCAGAUAAUAAUAUAUUUAUUUAAAUUUAGUAGGAAACUUAUAAUUAUGGCAGUUAAAGUUAGUAAUAUAUAUAGCUCUAAUACUAUUCAGAUACAAAAAAAAUAUUCUAAUAUAUAAUUACUUGAUAGUAAAAAUAUGAUAUAGAAAAUUAUUAAGAAAUGAAAAUAGAGAAAAAGAUCAAAAUAGCACUAAAUCAAGUUUUUGUUCUCAAACUAACACUCAAGGCCAAAAGUCACAAAAAUAGCACUCAAGGGGUGGGGUUUAGGGUUUAGAAUUUAGGGUUUAGGAUUUAGAGUUUAGGUUUUAGGGUUUAGAGUUGAGAAGUGAGGUUUUGGGGAUAAGAUUUCAAAUUUUGAAAAUUAAAAAAAUUUAAAUUUUUCAAAAAAUAAAAUGCUAUUUUGGUCAUUUUAGUUUUUGAAUGCUAUUUUUGUGAUAUAAACUUAGAAAGGUGCUAUUUUGGAGAUUUGCCCAUGAAAAUAAUCGAAGAGGGUCAUAUUAUUUUUUUAUUUGUCAACAAAAGAAUCAUAUUGUUAAAUAAGCAAUAUAUUAUAUGAAAACUAACAGAAAAAAAUAGUGGAAGGAUACAUAUGUUUUUAAAGAAGUGCAUAAUAGGGGUUGACUCUCGUAUGUCACGAGUAUUAGCAAACAAUCUGAAACCACUACACUAAAACAUCUCUAAAAUGUGGCCUCUAAAACUAUUUAUUUGAUUGUGGCCUAAAACAUAUGCUUCAUCAGCCUUAUGCAAAGGACGGGCCUCUCUGCAGACAUCUGUUUGAAUAGAGCUUCUGCUUCUUGGAAGUUUCCGUUUCUCGCGAUCUGAGAACUGCAAUGGAAGUUAGAUGUGCUCGUACUCGUCUCCACAAAGUUUCGUGUUGUUGUAUGUGUAUCACAAAAUAUAUAGUUAAUCAUAAAAUAAUAUAGUUUAAUCAAAUUUAAUAUGCCUUUAAUAUGUACUAGAGUUUGUUUAAUAGCAUAGACAUAUGAAAUUCUUUAAAACACAUUAAUAUAAUGGCUGCACAAACAUGUAUUCGUAUGGAUAUUUGUUCAAUUUGUUAUAUAUAACAUUUAUGAUACAUUAUUGAUUUUAAUUGUAUGUAAUUUAUUGGUUAUAUAAAACCAAUCAAAAUAAUAUGUUAUAUCACAUGUUUGUAAUUAAUAAUUUUUCUACUACAAUAACCAAUUUUUGAUGUAUUUAUUUAUAAACUAACACACCAAUUAUUAGGUUUAUUUAUAUUAAUAAAUCUAUCUUUUUAAAAUAAAUUAUUUAGAAAUUCCUUAAGAGAGCCAUUUUUAAGUUUUUAUCACAAAAAUAGUCUUCAAUAAAGAAAAUGACCAAAAUAAAAUUUAUUAAAGGGUAAAAAUAUAAGGUUUAUUAAAGGGAAAAUGAUCUUAGGGUUAACUAAUCUAGACUUAGGGUUUAGAGUUAAUGGGUGAGGUUUCGGGGAUAGAGUUUCAAAUUAAAAAAAAAAUAAAAAAAAUAAAUAUUAUAUUUUCAAAAUAAAAAGAGCUAUUUUAGUUAUUUUCUUUCUUGAAGGCUGUUUUUGUGAUAAAACUUAAAAGCGCUAUUUGAGAAAAUUAUUCUAAAUUAUUUUAUAUCAAAAAAAUGUACUUCAAUUUUAAUAGAAUAAAUAGAUAGAUUUAUCUCUAGAUUUUUAUAUGUCAGAUACAUGGUUGGUUCAUUCAAUUGGGUGGUUCACCUUUGUCUUGGAAUUCACAUAAACAUGACGUUGUCUCCUGUUCUUCAGCAAAAAAGCAGAAUAUCGGGCAAUAGGUGAUACUGUGGCGUAAAUUACUGUGUCUGCGGGAACUCCUUGCUGUGUUUGGAAUUGAUACUACAUCGAGCAUUACUCUGUAUUCAGACAGUUUAUCGGCAAUCCAAUUGGCUGCUAAUCCGGUUUUUCAUGCUCGUACAAAACAUAUCGAGAAGGAGUGCCAUUUAAUUCAAGAUUGGAUCAAGAAAGGUGUGAUCAAGAAAGGUGGUUCGACCAAAUCGCAACUGGCUGAUAUUAUGACUAAAGCGUUGGGCCGAAAGGAGUAUGAAGCUUUUCUUUGCAAGCUGGGUGUUCUCAACCUCCACACUCCAGCUUGAGGAGGGUUAUUGGGCCGUACGGCCCUUUUGUAUUGUAAAUCUAUUAUGUACAAGUUAGGUUUAAUACUUUGUAUGUGUAUCUAUCUAUAUAAAAAUAUAUUCGCCUCAUUCCUGCUUUGCCACGUCAUAAAGUCGGUUCCUGACAGGCCGACACGUGUUGGGGUUGGAUGAUACUCACCGUUUUACUUAAUCACAGUUAUUAAUGGGCUUUUUUUUUUGUAAAUAAAUAUUUCAGAUCAGUGUUUUAGGCUUAACACAAUUGGGUUUCUAGGCUGUAGGGUAACACAUGAGAGGGUCCCACAUGAAACGGCUUCUUCUCCAAAAAUAAUGUCGACGAACGAAAGAUAGAUCUGCUGCAUUUUAACAACUCCGGUUCAAACCUACGGCCAGUGAAGAUUUGCUGCACCGGCCACGCUGAAUUCCGAUCAAGGUUAGUUGGAAGGCGUCGUAUUUGGCUGUUCGAUUCCACUUCUUCUACCUUUGGUUGAAUUUUGGAACCGUUAUGGAUUCAUGCAUCCUCAUUGACUAUCACAUUAAAUCAUUCAAUGAACCCCCUCAUUAAAACAUUUUAACUCAAAUAUAACUAAUCUUAACAUAAAUAAUCUUUCGACACCCUAAAAUUCUCAAAACCCAUAAAUAUUAUUAUAUACUUCUCUUAACAAAAUUUUACAAAACAUACAUACAAAGGGAUUAUACAAUUACAUCA